UACGGAGGGUGCAAGCGUUGUCCGGAAUCAUUGGGUGUAAAGGGUGCGUAGGCGGAGGCCUAAGUCGGAGGUGAAAUCUUGCCGCUCAACGGUAAGCGUGCCCCCGAUACUGGGCCUCUUGAGUCCGGAAGAGGCCGGUGGAAUUCGUGGUGUAGCGGUGAAAUGCAUAGAGAUCACGAAGAACACCCGUGGCGAAGGCGGCCGGCUGGUCCGGGACUGACGCUCAGGCACGAGAGCGUGGGGAGCGAACAGG
rnacentral:rRNA from 1 species